GUUCGUUAGUCACGAUGAUGUGGUCCAGCUGCCGCAGGUAACGUUCUUGAUCUUGCAUGAAGUGAGGAAUCCUGGUUCUCCGCAGGACCGCAAGAUGACGUAGCCGUUCCACAUCCUCAUAGGACACCUACAGAAAAACCCUUCGGGAAAGUACUUGGAGCAUUUCAUUGGAAUCCGUUCAGCCGGAAGAACCAUUUCCGUGGUAUGUUACAUUAAAUAAGCAGCAGUCUUUGAUACUCUACCUGGUUUUGAGGUGUCCGUCUGUCCCCGUUUGGCACGGAGGCAGUACUCCCAGCGUACGGCGGGGUCCUGGACGAAGCGAGCGAUAUAGCUGAACAGUUGGCUGAAGCUCAUGUUGGCUGCAUGGUACACGGUGUAGUAGAGGAGAGCAGCUCGCCACAAGAAGGGCUGCUUCCGCAACAACACGCUGUGAAUGCUGGCCAGUCCCUCCUCUGUAGGAUUGGCUGGCUUCAGUCCAAACUGCUUCCUUCCGACGGCAGUGGCCCAUGGCUGCAUGCUGUUAUUCACGCCGCGUAAGUAAUGUGUACCUGAGAGUGAGAAUUAUAGCAGAUCAGCAAGAACAUUUUUAGCUCCACCUGCCUUUAAGUAUAGGAAGAUUAAAACUUCCACUAAGAGCGUAUAUAUUAAGUUGAAAAUAAUCAGGUUUGUUCGAUAUAUGAUGCUGAAAAGCUCAGUGCUUAAAAGGAAAUGAGCUACAGUGGCCAGUUAAUACGGGACUUAAUAUUUAGGUGCAAUAUGAAGUCUUAAUUACAUGUGAGAGCUUUUGAAAUAAUUUCAAGCCCUGAGUUUUAUCAUACCGAUCUCAUGUCUUAGCAUCCCUUCCAGCCAGUGCUGCCGUGCUCCAGACAGGUUUAUGGUUAAGGUCGGCCUGCAGCUCUCCACCAUCAUAACAGCCUGAGAUAGGAGGUCAUCAGACAGAGACACAACCACCUGCAAAUAUCACACACGAUGACUAAAACUGUGCUGUGGAUGUAAGAAGUCGUGCCGGUAUGCACAGGAAACGUGGACAACACAAACACGCACCUCACCCACACAGCCCUCUUUCUGCAAGUACUUGCGCACCAUCGCCCACACUCGACUCUUGGGCAACACACUUCCUCCGGUGACUUCUUCAAAGUUCUCGUAGGUGCCGAACUUCCUCAGGACGCACUCCAUGAUAUUAACUGCCUGGGAAAAGAUGUGAGUGGGAUUCAGGGGUGGAAUGGUUUCUCUUUCUGGUAUGUCAAGGUAUCUGGGUAAAAGUAUAAAAGUGUUUAAAGGAGUAUGAUGUGUCCUGACCUUUCUCACGGAUACUGCCUUGCAUAAGUAUUCACCCCCUUGAACUUUUCCACACUUUUGUGGUGUUACAACCUAAAACUUCAGGUUCAGGAGGGAAUGGAAUGGGGAAUUCAAUGGAAUAUCUAUUUCACAGAUAUUCCAUUGGUUAUACUAAAUAUUUCACAAACUAUGCAUGUUGAGAAAGAACCUUACUCAUGUUGCCUAUCGGUGAUGCAUCACCAUCGAUGACACCGAUAGGCAACAUGGUUUUUAUGAGUUGAUUGAUUUAAUUCAGCCGGACUACCACAUACCAUCAAGAACGGAUUCUGAAAUGGAUCAGCGUGUCAUCAGCGGUCAGCGGUAAGUUUAGCUUCUGAACACGUAGUAUAUAAAUCAUGAAAUGUUAUCCAUGUGAGUAAGUCUCAACUUCAAGCAGGACCACUGAAGUGAUAACUAAAUGGUGUAGCACUGUAACACGUUAUGGACCUUCACGAGUAUUCUCAGAAUUUUCCGUAAUAUGCACAAUAUCCUAUGCACAUUGGGGAGAAAAUAACACACUUAUAAUGAUAAUAAUUAAUAAUAAAUGGACGCACGCAAUAUGAAUAGGCUCACAUGCACUCUGUCGCCAGAGUGUGCAUCUGAGAGGGUGUUAGUGGCACAUUGUAUAUUAUAGUCAUUAUAUUUGAUUAUUAAAUAAGUCAUUUUAUUAAAUGAUUGUAAUCGCAUCCAUUCAUUUUACAGUCCUACUAGCCUAUUAUUUAGAGUAACAGAAAAACUUUUAAUUUGGGUGAGGAAGCUGGCGUCUUGAGUGGGAUUUUCACAAACUGUCGCGCCACUGCAGUACACGCAUCUUGUGGUUUUAAGGUUAACGAUUAAUCGAUUAAUUGAUCAUUAAGUUAAAUGACGAUCGAUCAUGGGAAUUUGUGUAAAUUGACAUUGACAUUUUGUAGCCAGGGUUCCCUUCGGUUUAGAUUAUUUCGUGGAAAUGAUUGUGUGUACAAUAAUAUAUUGUCUAUUUAUUACAGCAAUGAGGCUUUCAAUUCCAGAACCUUUAGG